rnacentral:piRNA from 1 species
UACUUAUCGGAAUGUUCUUGUUUGUGC